GAUGGAGAACGUAGCGAAAUGCGAUAAGUAAUGCGAAUUGCAGAAUUCAGUGAGUCAUCGAAUCUUUGAACGCACAUUGCGCCCUGUGGUAUUCCGCAGGGCAUGCCUGUUCGAGCGUCAUUUCAACCCUCAAGCUCUGCUUGGUGUUGGGCCACGCCCUCGCGGCCGGCCCCAAAGCCAGUGGCGGCGCCGUCCGGCUCUAAGCGUAGUACAUCUCUCGCUCUAGGGCCCGGCGGCUGCCUGCCAGAACCCCAAACUCUUAUGGUUGACCUCGGAUCAGGUAGGGAUACCCGCUGAACUUAAGCAUAUCAAUAAGCGGAGGA
rnacentral:misc_RNA from 1 species